rnacentral:rRNA from 1 species
AUGGCUUCCGCGCCGACGCAGCCGCCUCUCCUCCCGGUCACCAACCCCACGGCCGCGGGCUCGGCGCCCGCCGCCGGCGGCGGCGGCGGCAGCCUGGACGCGCCGAUCGCCACGCCGGCGUUCCGGCUCUUCAUGAGCCGGAUCUCCGAGUCGGCGCGCCGCUCGCUGUCCGACCGGCGCCCGUGGGCCGAGAUGGUAGACCGCUCGGCCUUCUCGCGGCCGGACUCCCUCUCCGACGCCACCUCCCGCCUGCGCCGCAACCUCACCUACUUCCGCGUCAACUACACCGCCGUCGUCGCCUUCGCGCUGGCCGCCUCGCUCCUGGCGCACCCCUUCUCGCUCCUCAUCCUCCUCGGGGUCCUCGCCGCCUGGUGCUUCCUCUACAUCUUCCGCGCCUCCGACCAGCCCGUCGCGCUCUUCGGCCGCACCUUCUCCGACCGCGAGACGCUGCUGGGGCUCGUCGUCGCCUCCAUCGUGGCCUUCUUCUUCACCCCCGUCGCGUCGCUCAUCAUCUCCGGGAUGCUCGUCGGCGGCGCCAUCGUCGCCGCCCACGGCGCCUUCCGCAUGCCCGAGGACCUCUUCCUGGACGACGCCGACGCGGCCAGCGGCAACAGCGCGGCCCAGGGGCUGCUGUCCUUCCUCGGGGCACCCGGAUCUAGGGUUUGA